CAGCCGCCACGGGAAUACGUAGGUGGCAAGCGUUGUCCGGAAUUAUUGGGCGUAAAGGGCUCGCAGGCGGUUUCUUAAGUCUGAUGUGAAAGCCCCCGGCUCAACCGGGGAGGGUCAUUGGAAACUGGGAAACUUGAGUGCAGAAGAGGAGAGUGGAAUUCCACGUGUGGCGGUGAAAUGCGUAGAGAUGUGGAGGAACACCAGUGGCGAAGGCGACUCUCUGGUCUGUAACUGACGCUGAGGAGCGAAAGCGUGGGGAGCGAACAGGAUUAGAUACCCGUGUAGUCCCUGUCUCUUAUAC
rnacentral:rRNA from 1 species